ensembl:snRNA U6 U6 spliceosomal RNA
GCGCUCGCUUCGGCAACACAUAUACUAAAAUUGGAAUGAUACAGAGAAGAUUAGCAUGGCCCCUGUGCUGUUUCAAGACUUACUACCUUAUA